CAUCACCCUCACAUCACCAACGCUCAUCACUCACGCUCUCAACACCAGCAGAAGGAGCAAGGAGAAAUCCGGAGAUCAUCAUAAAUCUACGCCCAGAUGCCAGGGGGCCGAGAGACAAGAGUCCCAUUUUUCUCUGUUUGUAAAGAGUUCGGAUGGUCUUCCAAGAGCUGACAUGAUCUGGCACGGAGCACGCCUGUGAUAAAGCCCAGAGUAAAAUCGAUUUGUUAUUUAUUUAUUUGACAGA